rnacentral:tRNA from 1 species
UCCCUGGUGGUUCAAUGUUUAGGACUUGGCAUUUUUGCUGCUAUGGGCCUGGGUUCAAUUUCUGGUUGGCGAA